rnacentral:tRNA from 1 species
GCUUGAAUGGCAUUCAAGAGGUCGGCGGUUCGAUCCCGCCUGGCUCCACCA